UACGAUCACUGAAGUUAAGCAACUUUGAGCCUGGUCAGUACCUUGAUGGGUGAUCGCUAGGGAAUACCAGGUGCCGUAAG